GUGGGGAAUCUUCCGCAAUGGACGAAAGUCUGACGGAGCAACGCCGCGUGAACGAUGACGGCCUUCGGGUUGUAAAGUUCUGUUAUACGGGACGAAUGGCGUAGCGGUCAAUACCCGUUACGAGUGACGGUACCGUAAGAGAAAGCCACGGCUAACUACGUGCCAGCAGCCGCGGUAAUACGUAGGUGGCAAGCGUUGUCCGGAAUUAUUGGGCGUAAAGGGCGCGCAGGCGGCGUCGUAAGUCUGUCGUAAGAGUGCGGAGCUUAACCCCGUGAGAGGACCGAAACUGCGAUGCUAGAGUAUCGGAGAGGAAAGCGGAAUUCCUAGUGUAGCGGUGAAAUGCGUAGAUAUUAGGAGGAACACCAGUGGCGAAAGCGGCUUUCUGGACGACAACUGACGCUGAGGCGCGAAAGCCAGGGGAGCAAACGGGAUUAGAUACCCGAGUAGUCC
rnacentral:rRNA from 1 species